rnacentral:rRNA from 1 species
UGGGGAAUCUUGCGCAAUGGGCGAAAGCCUGACGCAGCAACGCCGCGUGCGGGAUGAAGGCCUUCGGGUUGUAAACCGCUUUCAGUGGGGACGAACCAAGACGGUACCCACAGAAGAAGCCCCGGCCAACUACGUGCCAGCAGCCGCGGUAACACGUAGGGGGCAAGCGUUGUCCGGAUUCAUUGGGCGUAAAGAGCUCGUAGGCGGUUCGAUAAGUCGGGUGUGAAACCUCCAGGCUCAACCUGGAGACGCCACCCGAUACUGUCGUGACUAGAGUCCAGUAGGGGAGCGUGGAAUUCCUGGUGUAGCGGUGAAAUGCGCAGAUAUCAGGAGGAACACCAGCGGCGAAGGCGGCGCUCUGGGCUGGAACUGACGCUGAGGAGCGAAAGCGUGGGGAGCGAACAGGAUUAGAUACCCGGGUAGUCCCUGAGCGGGCUGGCAAGGCGCAU